CAAUCCACUGACUCAAAUGUUAGUCUCUGGUAACACCCUCACAGACACACCCAGGAACAAUACUUUGCUUCCUUCAGUCUAAUUAAGCUGACACUCAAUAUUAACCAUCACAGUAAGCAUAUCAGAGACUAUAGGGUCUGCUGUUUGGGACAGGGUGUUCUGAAAGGACCUCUGGUAAGGUGACUUUUGAGCAUAGACCUGAAGAAAAUGGAGGAAUGAGCCCUGUACAUUGUCAGGGAAGAACUGCUCUGGCAGAGGAAAUACAGAUGGAAAGGGCCUGCACUGGAAAAGUGAUCGGCAUGUUAGAGGCACAGUGAGGAGGCCAACACAACCGGUGAGGAGUGAAUCAGGAGAAUAAUAGGGGAUGAAGUCACAGUAUUGGGACCCAGGUCAUAGAGAGCCCUGGAAGGCAUUUUAAGGACUUGGACUUUGAGGAAAAUGAGAAACCAUUGGCCAGUUUGGGGUACAUGGAUGAUAUUUAACCAGAAGAUUCUUUUUCCUCUCUAUCAAGUCAUCACUUUCCACAUUUUAUGGAAAGAAGUUUUAUCUUUUCUUGUUAAGCUAUUGGUGAAUUUUUAACUUUGGGGUUUUGUUUCGGAUAGGUAUUGGGAGAAGGAGAGGCUGUCAACCCAUGCCACUAUGCUAUCUCUAAUUCUGCCAUCCAGACCGAGCAAACGUACUUAAGACCUUUGUGUAAGAUCAGAAAAUCAUAAGACAGCAUUAAAAAGUACUAUACAGGAGGAGAUGGAACAAGAUGGCCAAAUAGAAGCCUCCAGCAAUCAUCUCCCCGAAAGGAAUUGAACAACUAUCAAAACAAAAUUGAACAACUAUCUAAACAAAAAAGUACCUUCAUAAAAAACAAAAAUCAGGACAAUAUCAGAACGGCACAUACAAGUGUCCCCAAGUCAUAUUUGGAAUAAGAUCACUUGGGAACACAAGUCAAAGAAGGACACAGUGUUCUGCCUCUCCUGAGUAAGCAGCAACAACGCACCAUCUUGGAAUCAGGGGACGGCCCUCACCAGACAACUAAAUCUGCAGACACCUUGGACUUCCCAGCCUCCAGAACUGUCUUUCUGGCAACUGUCUAAACAUAAACCAGAGAAGGGCAAGGCAGACUCAGGAAGGACAAAUAGAAGGCUAUUUUCAUAAAUCGGACCACCACCACAUGUGCAGCAUCCCUCUGGGUCUCUUCCAUGACAACCCUGUGGGAAGCCAGGCAAGUGAGAAUCAAUGUAAACAUGAAGUUCAUGCUGCUUACUGUGUCGUGAUAAUGUCCUUGUCUCCCAAUCAGGAGCCUCAUGUCUUCUUGCCAGCCUCUGUGGAACUGUGGUAGGCUAUUAAGUUAAUUAGCAAGCAGGGUAAAGUCUCAGAUCCUUUGCAUUUUCUUUUAACCAGCUCUUUCUAGGUGAAAGACACAUGGAUAUCACUGUGAAACUUCAUGCUCUGUAUAGCUCAAAAUUUUGCCCAAGGGGAGGUUCCAGCACCAUCUGAUUAGUACAUAUUGCUGAGAAAAAUACUAAAGGAAGAAAAUACUAAUAAUAAUAUAUUUCACUAACCCUCUUAGAUAUUAAGAAAUGAAUGAAAAGGUCUAUAUUAUUGACUAUUAAUCACUUGGAAUCUCUGUUGUUAAACUGAGAAGUAAACUGCAUUGCCUAGAAUAUUGGCCAUAUUUUUAGUGAUACUAAUUAAAUUGUUUGAGAUAGAUCUGAAGACAGCAGAAGCUUGUCUGGGCCUAGCUUCCUUGAAUUCUUCUUCCCCGAAUUGCUAUGUCUUGGUAAUUUUGAAAUAUGAGUUAGAAACCAUCUACUUACCUAACUGAUAUCAUUAUUCCAGUUAAUGUUUGUCCCAAGGUAUUUCUCAAAGACUUAAGAAAAAUGAAAAUUCUAUUUUUUAAAGGGCCUAGCUCUUUUAAAAGGAUAUGUUUCAUGGAAUUCUAUUUAUCAACAAACAUGUAGACUACUUCAACAAGACUUCAAUGUGAUUUCAUGUGUUUAUUCUCCUGAGUCAGAUGUGAACAAUGUAAUCCUAAAAGAUUUUGGGGAAUGGUGACAUAUGCUACUUAAUUCACACUCAUGAGCUUAAGAGAAGAUAAGAGAAUGUCAUGCUCAUGUGUGACAAAGAUAAAACUAUAUUCUAACUAGGAUUACAAGAAUAAAACACCAGAAACUUGACAACUUGACAUUUUUUCACAGUGCUUAAAAAUAAAUGUAAUAAAACUUUGGCAGUUAAUGUCAUUUUGAUUUGCUUUAAUUUUAUUUUCAAACCUCUAUUAUUGAAAUAAUAAUUUCAUUAUUUCAAACCUUCAUAGGAAAAUAAUAGAAUUGUGCUGUUGUGUCAGUAUAAGACAUAGUCAACAUUUUCUGCAAUGAACAAGUAAUGUUGAGAUUAACAAGAUUUCUCUUAAUAAAUGUUUUAUACAAGCAUAAGAAAAAUGGAUAGCACAAAAAAUGGAUAGCACAAUAGGGUAACAUUAGCACUUUAACAAAUAAAUCCCAACAUUCUAAUGGCUUAAUACAAUUGAAUUUUAUUUCUUGCUCAUGCAACAGUCCAGCACAGGUGCUCAUGGUCUGCUGCUGGGGCCACGAUGCAUCUGUCUCAUGCAGUCAUAUAGAGACCCAAGUUGAUAGCUGUGAUGUGUUCUCCAAAACAUGGCUUUAGAGGUUGCCAUGGAAAUCAACAUCCAACUGAUGGAAGAGGCAAGAGAAAGGAUGCAAAAACCACACCAGCUGUUUAAUUACCUGGGUCCAGAAGUAACAGGUGCCACUACCUCUCACAUUCUAUUAGUGGAAAUUAGUCACAUGGCCUCUCCUAACUGCUAGUAAGUAUAGAAAAGUUGGUUUUGGCUGGGCAGCCACAAGACAAAGCUACUAAGAAAGACAUAGCAUUAAUUUUAUGUUGUUAGCCAUCUCUGCUAUAAGCGUAAGUCAAAUAGAAUUUUCAUUUUUCUUAAGUCUUUGAGAAAAACAUUGGGACAAACAUUAACUGGAAUAUUGAUAUCCAUUAGGUAUGAGCUUGAUUGUUUCUAACUCAUAUUUCAAAAUUACCAGAUAUAGCAAUUCAGGGAAGAAGAAAAAGGUUUAAAGACUGUGACAUUCAGACUGCUAUAUUCAAUACAGAAAAGAUAUUUGGUGAUAUUUCUAUCCCUUUUUCUUAAAUGUACAUUCUUCUGGGAUUUAAUAAAGUCACAUUCUGAUUUUUAAAAAUAGUACUAUUAAUCUCACUAUAGAGCUCUGAAAAUAAUAGAAUCGUGCUGUUAUAUUACAGCAGUUAUUGAUUGUCCAUUUUUUCCAAAGACACUGAGAUCUAUGGAAGAAAUAAGCCUCAUUAUUUUUCAUUUGUAUUUAAUGUAGAUGCAACAAAAGUUAUAUACUUCUUUAUUAUAUAUUUUGUCAUGCCUAUUAAAUGCCAGUUAUAUAAGAUGAUUCCUGAUCCAAACACAGUGCUUUAUGUUAUUGGGAUUAAAAGAAUUAGUUAAAGCUUUAAGUUAAAUUACUUUUGAAUUCAUUUAUGGCUAGGUACACAUGAAAUAAACACUCUACAUUGUCUACAGUGGUAAUUGCCAAGAAAAAGAGUAUAUUUUAGUAACAAUUUGGCUAAGCGCCUCAAAUUCAAAGUAAUUCCACAUUUAAAUACUAACACUCAAACCUGAAAGUUGUCUUUAAAAGCUUUAUAAAUUGUUUCUGGUGAGGGUUUUACGACUAUGGGGUGGGUGGAAAGGGGAGGAAGGAAGAGGGACUGCCUCACUAUAAGCUGAUAACAAGGUUGCUAAAAAUUGCUCUUAUCAAUGGUCUUUGCACUUAACUUGUUUAAAUAAAAGAAAAAACUUCAUGUGAGUCAUCGUAUUUUGUUCACUACAGCUUGGCAGGUCACCUUGUUCUAGCAGAUAGAAACUGAAUCAAUAUGGGAAGAGCCAGAAUUUGGACAAGGUUCACCAAACAUUCACACUGAUGCCAGGUGGGCCAAGAAAAAGGGAAUGUCCUGCCUCUGAGAAACUCAUCAUACAGUUUGGAGAUAACAUUUGUUGAAGGAGAGAAGAAAAGAGGAGAGAGGAAUGGAGUGAGGCAGAAAGGAAAUGAUGACGAGCUACUCUUCAAAAUUAAGCUGGAUAACAACAAGAAAUUCUAGAAAGCAAUUGAGGCAACCUCCACCCUAAGACCCAGGUAAACCCUACAUUUAAAGUGCUGUUCUGGGGCACAGUGAAAGAUUUCUGCCAGAAAAUUUGCUCCCUAGGAUUUACAUGAUGAUGAGAUUACAUGCUGCCUUGUGGCAACAAAAUCAAAAGUCUGUAAAAGAAAAAGCGUGCUAUGCUUCUGAAUGUUUGGAGAUCCUACAAUAGAUUUUUCAUUCAGCUAUUUUGUUGCUGCUUCAUGAGCACACCUGACAGUCUUGUGGGAUAAUAGAAAUAAACUUCUCAUAAACAACGGUCAAAUUUUUCAGAUAUAUAUUUUCAACACAGAACUAGCAAAAUGUACACAGUGCUAAGUUGUGCCAUCUCUGUACUUUACUACGCAAGGCACUUCUUUGAUAAUGUGCAGCAGAAUAAUGUUAUAGCAGAUUUCACAAUGAAAUCGUCAAUGAAUCUUCUUUCAGUCAUUUCAUUCGGGAUCAAAUCGGACAUAUGCAAAGUUCUUAGAAUCACUUUUGUCAAAUGGGGCAAAAUUGCAGAGGUCAUAGCAAGUAAGGAGCCAUCCUCUUUUAUAACUGCUAUGCCCAUCCAACAACCACAGCUUUCUUACCAAGAUGGUCACCAAGGUCUGCUGCACAGGAUUGCAUACUCCAGAGCACCCUCCAGUCAGUGCAGACACACCAACCGCUGGUCAGCCUACAGGGGUGGUGUCUCUGCUUCUUCUGCCCAGGCAAAGCUGAUAUCAUGCUAGAGAAAGGAUAAGCCAUUGACACCAUCCCCAAAGGAUCCUUAAGAACUAGCAUUGCAAUUUACAUUAUUGACCAUUCAGUGUUGGUUGGACACAUGGUGGUAAAUUUAAGAGAUCCUACUAGCCAAACAGUCCAAGCCAAGUUGCUCUGGGAUAACAAGGUACUAGCAUUGCAACUGGUCUGUGCUGUAACACCAGAAGGAAACUGAGUCUAGGUAUGCUGUAUCAAAAAUCUAUGAUGAUGUCUUCCACGGUAUUCUCUCUCAAGGCCCUUUGUCAAAGAGGUCACUGCUACUAGGCCUUCCAUAGGAGUAAUUGCAGGUAAUUUGGCAAACUAGGUCUUCCUAAGAGAGAGAAACUUGGGUAGGGAAUGUCAAAGUCCAUGAUUCACAUUCUAUACCACAAUCAUGACCAAAGUGAUCAUAAGAUUGGGGUGGCUUGACUUACAGAGGUUGUUAACAAAUGUCCCAAGGUGGUCGCGGAGGCACUUGUCAGAAAAGGUAGUGUUUUUCUUUCAAGAAUCAAAAAUUGAGCCAAUUCAAUAGAAACUCCUUGGUUUCACUGACCAUAUUGAAAAACUCCAGAAAUUAUUCUAAGAAAUUCUCCAACCAGUGAAUCACAUCUGUUGGUUUUAACACCUGAGGCAAACCUUGGCAACCAUCAGGACACUGUCAAGGAUACACUGAAGGAGCGUCUCUACACAGAAUUGCAGUAAAUCGACUCCUUGCAAUUCUGGGGGCAAACAACACAGUUCAAAUUUAUCAAAUGUUAAUUUUAGAGUUACCACUGGAAAAACUAAAACAACUAUCUUAUCCAAUUGGCACUCUGUAUUGUCAUCUUUACAUCUUUACUGUUAAAUCUUAAAUGUUCCUGGUCAUAUGAAACAAUGUUUUCAAAGAAUAUAGGAACCGUUCUUCAUUUUGAAGAUGUAUUCAUUGACUAUGUGAUAAAGGAAAAGCCUUCGGGAAAUAUUCAUUGACUAUCACAUUUAAACCAGUUAUGGGUAUGGAGGAAAGCAAAAAAUGCAAAAGUUAAAAACUUUAUAUCUCUUUCUAAAGUUACCAAUAUUACUGGUAUCCAAUCUAUCUAAAACAGCAUGAAUGUAAUAUAUAGUUACCCUACUAUAAAGGCCAAGCAAGAAUUUUAACCUCUUUGACAGCUCCUCAAUUUCCACCAUGUUUUCCACUGCAAAGGUAGUCACUUCUCCACCCAUAGCAGUAACACUUUCUGUGGCCCUGACCUCAGUAGGAACAGGACUGCUAUCUAGAAAGACCAGCUCUUGAUGUUUGAUGUCCGGGCUAUACCCCCAAAACAAUGAAAUCAGCAGUCCUUGUGGUGGGACAAGGAGAGGGCUAGACACCGAAAUGCACCUAAAAUUUUCCAGGUGAUUCUAAUGUGCAACCAGGGUUGAUAAUCACUGGGACAGUCUAACAGGCCCACACCAAACACAGUGAGAGAAGUAAGCAAAGGGAAAUCUAUUCCUUGCCCUUAAGAAAUUUGCUGGCCAGGCUCGGUGGCUCACACCUGUAAUCCCAGUUC
rnacentral:lncRNA from 1 species